GCGCCGUUAGCUCAGUUGGUAGAGCAGCCGCCUCUUAAGCGGCUUGUCACAGGUUCAAGUCCUGUACGGCGCAC
rnacentral:tRNA from 1 species